CCCUUCUGGCUAGGUGUCUCGCCACGACUGCGACUGACUGUCGGUGCCGUAGGGAAGCCGUGAAGCGAGCCACCUGGGAAGUACGGCCGCAAGGCUGAAACUUAAAGGAAUUGGCGGGGGAGCACCACAACGGGUGGAGCUUGCGGUUUAAUUGGAUUCAACGCCGGAAAUCUUACCGGGACCGACAGCAAUAUGAAGGCCAGGCUGAAGACUUUGCCGGAUUAGCUGAGAGGUGGUGCAUGGCA
rnacentral:rRNA from 1 species